GACGAACGCUGGCGGCGUGCCUAACACAUGCAAGUCGAGCGGGGUUGAAGCGAGGGGUAACUCGAACUUCUACCUAGCGGCGGACGGGUGAGUAACGCGUGGGCAACCUGCCUCAAGGUCUGGGAUAACAGCUCGAAAGGGCUGCUAAUACCGGAUAUGCCUAUAGCCUCGCAUGGGGCUAUGAGCAAAGGGGAAACCCGCCUUGAGAUGGGCCCGCGUCCCAUCAGCUAGUUGGUGAGGUGAAGGCUCACCAAGGCGACGACGGGUAGCCGGCCUGAGAGGGUGACCGGCCACACUGGGACUGAGACACGGCCCAGACUCCUACGGGGGGCAGCAGUGGGGAAUCUUGCACAAUGGGCGAAAGCCUGAUGCAGCGACGCCGCGUGAGCGAAGAAGGCCUUCGGUUGUAAAGCUCUGUCUGGAGGGACGAAGAAAGUAGACGGUACCGUCCGGAGGAAGGCCACGGCUAACUACGUGCCAGCAGCCGCGGUAAAGUCACGUCG
rnacentral:rRNA from 1 species